UAACCUGCCUGGUAGCGGGGGAUAACUAUUGGAAACGAUAGCUAAUACCGCAUAAUAGUAGAUGUUGCAUGACAUUUACUUAAAAGGUGCAAUUGCAUCACUACCAGAUGGACCUGCGUUGUAUUAGCUAGUUGGUGGGGUAACGGCUCACCAAGGCGACGAUACAUAGCCGACCUGAGAGGGUGAUCGGCCACACUGGGACUGAGACACGGCCCAG
rnacentral:rRNA from 1 species